CGUUAAUCGGAAUUACUGGGCGUAAAGCGCGCGUASGCGGUUUGUUAAGUCAGCUGUGAAAGCCCCGGGCUCAACCUGGGAACUGCAGUUGAUACUGGCCGACUGGAGUGCSAGAGAGGGAGGUAGAAUUCCAUGUGUAGCGGUGAAAUGCGUAGAUAUAUGGAGGAAUACCGGUGGCGAAGGCGGCCUCCUGGCUCGACACUGACGCUGAGGUGCGAAAGCGUGGGGAUCAAACAGGAUUAGAUACCCUGGUAGUCCACGCCGUAAACGAUGUCUACUAGCCGUUGGGAGACUUGAUUUCUUAGUGGCGCAGCUAACGCAAUAAGUAGACCGCCUGGGGAGUACGGCCGCAAGGUUA
rnacentral:rRNA from 1 species